rnacentral:lncRNA from 1 species
GAGCUUUGUGCGGCGCCGGCUCCCUAGAGCCGGGCGGCCGCCCGGAUUGGGCGUAGUUCGAGUGUGGCUCUGUGUGCUGGGAACCGAGGAGGGAAAGGAGAGGACUCCACUCUUGAUUUCGGGUCUUCCCGGAUUCCCUCAGCCUUUAACAUACACUUUUCUGCCUCAGUUUCCCAUCUACGCUCUCCCCGCAUCUGCAUCCCAGCUUCCUUUCUCUUCUUCCCUGGACCGUGUCUGGUUUGGGAAUAGCGAGAUGCAGUAGGGAAUGGACAUGGAAAUCAUUCGUUCAUCCUGGGAGCAGAUCUUUUACUUCUGUCGUCUGUCGAAGAUGCCUUAACCUUCAGGGAGCAGGGAAGGAAAAGAGGACCGGGGCUUCCUCUAACGGCCGUUGGUCCCUGCAUCUCAGAGCGCGUGCAUCCUGAGACCCGCAGGGUCCCUCCCAGACAGAGUGCUGUUCCCAGGAACUUUUCUGCUGAUGUGGGCACGCUCCGAAUUCCAGCUUGGAGCCCUUCCCCUCUGCCUCUGCCCGCUGGCCACAGCUGUCAGCAGCCCCUCCACAGCUCUGCCCGCCCUUGGCCCCUGAUGCUUAUUUCUGGGCAGCUGAUGCUCACAGAACUUUCUUUACUGAAGAUUUCAUGCUCUGUGGCCGUAUCAUUCACACGUCUAAUUUAUGUCGGAUUUUUCCAAAUACUUCCAGAAAACUUG